rnacentral:rRNA from 1 species
AAACUUUACAAUGCGGGGAACCGCGAUAAGGGGACACCGAGUGCCAGCAUCCUAUGUUGGCUGUCCAUAUGUCUAAAUCACAUGUGUUAGCAAGGGCCGGGCAAGACCGGUGCCAGCCGCCGCGGUAACACCGGCGGCCCGAGUGGUGGCCACUAUUAUUGGGUCUAAAGGGUCCGUAGCCGGUUUGGUCAGUCUUCCGGGAAAUCUGACGGCUCAACCGUUAGGCUUUCGGGGGAUACUACCAGGCUUGGGACCGGGAGAGGUAAGAGGUACUACGGGGGUAGGAGUGAAAUCUUGUAAUCCCUGUGGGACCACCAGUGGCGAAGGCGUCUUACCAGAACGGGUCCGACGGUGAGGGACGAAAGCUGGGGGCACGAACCGGAUUAGAUACCCGGGUAGUCCCAGCUGUAAACUAUGCUCGCUAGGUGUCAGGGACGGUGCGACCGUUUCUGGUGCCGCAGGGAAGCCGUGAAGCGAGCCACCUGGGAAGUACGGUCGCAAGGCUGAAACUUAAAGGAAUUGGCGGGGGAGCACUACAACGGGUGGAGCCUGCCUGCGGUUU